rnacentral:tRNA from 1 species
GCCGGUGUAGCUCAGUGGUAGAGCACACGACUCAUAAUCGUGCUGUCCGGAGUUCGACUCUCCGCACCGGCA